rnacentral:misc_RNA from 1 species
GAUGAAGAACGUAGUGAAAUGCGAUAAGUAAUGUGAAUUGCAGAAUUCAGUGAAUCAUCGAAUCUUUGAACGCACAUUGCGCCCGCCAGUAUUCUGGCGGGCAUGCCUGUCUGAGCGUCAUUUCAACCCUCAUGCCCCUAGGGCGUGGUGUUGGGGAUCGGCCAAAGCCCGCGAGGGACGGCCGGCCCCUAAAUCUAGUGGCGGACCCGUCGUGGCCUCCUCUGCGAAGUAGUGAUAUUCCGCAUCGGAGAGCGAUGAGCCCCUGCCGUUAAACCCCCAACUUUCCAAGGUUGACCUCAGAUCAGGUAGGAAUACCCGCUGAACUUAAGCAUAUCAAUAGCGGAGGA